UGUUCCCAUGUCCGUUGGUCUUAGGAAUACUUCAUCAAAAUGAAACCAGCAUCUACCCAGGCCUGAGUGCCAAACUGCUAAAACAGAGGGCAACCUACAACAAGGCGAGAUCCCCACUACGCAAGCUAAACCGGAGAUGCCGCUUCAUCCAACCUGAAAAACGAAUCUUGACCUUCCAGAAUACAACACACUUGUUUUCCACUGCCAAGGAGGCUCAACGCUUCUUUUCGAAGCACAUCAAGCCCAACACACAGGGGGACAAGCCGACAAGAUGUAGGCUAACCCCAACUUGACUGGCUCAAUAUUCAGGGAUCCGGUGUGCUGGGACAGCACUGCCCUGACUCCUACUUCGGAGGCAUCCACCUCGAUGAUGAAGGGAAGUGAGGGGUC